AAGAAAGAAGCCCAAAGAAAUUGAGAAUGGGCUCAACAAGGGAUAGCAGAGCCCAAUCAGAUGGGGCGCAGUAGCAUUGAGGGAGUGUGAACGGGGAAAUCCGUUUGGGCCUAGGGCCCAAACCAGAUCUUCAACAAGCUGAAACAGGGGACGCACAUACUGAAAUAAAAGAGGAUACAACAAAAUGCUAAUGGACCAAAAGCCAAACUCAUUGUCCCACAUCACUGUCAUGUUCUCCAUCAUAUCCCCGUGCUCGCAUCACCGUCGCAGCCCUAGGAAGAAGAAGAUGAAUCUGAUGAUGCGCACGUCUUUCAGUUUCCACGUUCAUCAGCUGCGAUGGUUCAAAGAUCUGACGGUUCAUGACGUUAUGCAAUUGAAUGUGGUUCGUUUUUUUUCAUUCAUCAGAUCGAGGAUUCGAAGGUUCUCAUUGCCACGUUCAACUCGUUAUGUUAUUGUAUGCGCAAACAGAAGAAAAAACGGUAUCGAAGACGAAUCAAAGGACUUACCGGAUUGAAUACGUAUCGAAUUUUCCAAUUGAUUUCCAAUUUCCUCUCCUUAUUCUCCCUCUAUUUGAGUUUGACUUGUGAAUUCUUGUGUGCGUUGCGUUUGCAAAUUCACUGUGAUUGAUCUUCUAUUGAACUUGUCUUUUGUUGUGAAUGAAUGAUGAAUCAAAUUUCUGAUGUGUUGGAUCCUCUCUUCGACUCUUUGAAUUGCGUUGCCUCGUUGUUAUUGAUGAUGAAUGAUGGAGUGAGGUUCGGUGUUAUGGGGAUUGAAGGUUGAGGAGGAUGGAACGUGAUGAAGUGGGUUGUUAGAAUUUUCUUUUUUGAAGGAAGAUUGGAGUCCAAAACGUGAUUGAUGCUUUUGCUGCAUUCUUCCAUUGUCGUUUGGAGAUGGUAUUCUUGUCAUGUUGUUACGCUUUUCAGCUUUUGGUGCCGCCAUUUAGCGUUUCACUUGCCGUUGGCCUUGUAUCUUUUUGUGAUGCGGUGCUGCUGCUAUCGGCAUUUCUGUCAAUGCCGGUGGAUGGUGUUAUUGCCUUGCAGCUCAUACUGCUAUCCCGUUUACCAUUGCGUGAUUAUGACGGAUUGUGUAGGUUUUUUUUAUGGUUUUACGCAACUAUUGUUAUGCAGUUUUGCUGCGGCUCGCGUUUGGAGCCUUGAUGUCGGCGUUUGUAUCGCCGUUUUGAUAUGGGCUUGUAGUUGUGCAUCGUGGUUUUGGUGCAUUCUUCAUUUACUGGGAUUUGCUCACGUCCAAGUUGUGUUCGAUACCGCAGUUUUUCUACAUUUCCAAUUGUUUACUAUAAUGCGUUUUGAAUUGUUCACGUCAUGCUACACUUGUGUUUUGCUUUUGUGGUUGCAUUUGUUGUUGGUUUGUAUUGUUUUUCAUGGCUAGUGGUGUUGGCAACUAGUGUAACAUAGCGCUGUCGUUCAUGCUCUUCCGUUAGCAGCUUCAUUUGCCAAUUUCCUUUUUUUAUUGUAUUUUCAUGUAAAUGUGAACAAUAGAUGUAAUAUGGAUUUAAUUGGAUUAUGGAAUUAGAGCUUGGAUAACUGAUUUAAAUGGU